AGUUCAGCCGGUUAGAAUACUAGCCUGUCACGCUAGGGGUCGCGGGUUCGAGUCCCGUC
rnacentral:tRNA from 1 species